rnacentral:piRNA from 1 species
UGUGCAUGCAUACGAUUCUGUGGGCCCA